AGCUAAUAGAUACCCAGGUAGUCCACGCCCUAAACGAUGUCUACUAGUUGUUGGUGGAGUAAAAUCCAUGAGUAAACGCAGCUAACGCGUGAAGUAGACCGCCUGGGGAGUACGGUCGCAAGAUUAAAACUCAAAGGAAUUGGACGGGGGCCCGCACAAGCGGUGGAUUAUGUGGAUUAAUUCGAUGCAACGCGAAAACCUUACCUGGCCUUGACAUGCUACUAACGAAGCAGAGAUGCAUUAGGUGCCCGUAAGGGAAAGUGGACACAGGUGCUGCAUGGCUGUCGUCAGCUCGUGUCGUGAGAUGUUGGGUUAAGUCCCGCAACGAGCGCAACCCUUGCCAUUAAUUGCCAUCAUUUAGUUGGGCACUUUAAUGGGACUGCCGGUGACAAACCGGAGGAAGUGGGGAUGACGUCAAGUCCUCAUGGCCCUUAUGGCCAGGGCUUCACACGUAAUACAAUGGUCGGUACAGAGAGUUGCCAACCCGCAGGGGGAGCUAAUCUCAGAAAGCCGAUCGUAGUCCGGAUUGUUCUCU
rnacentral:rRNA from 1 species